GACAGAGGGUGCAAACGUUGUUCGGAAUUACUGGGCGUAAAGCGCGUGUAGGCGGCCCUGCAAGUCGGAUGUGAAAUCCCACGGCUCAACCGUGGAAGUGCACUCGAAACUGGAUGGCUAGAGUCCUGGAGAGGAAGGUGGAAUGCUUGGUGUAGAGGUGAAAUUCGUAGAUAUCAAGCGGAACACCGGUGGCGAAGGCGGCCUUCUGGACAGUGACUGACGCUGAGACGCGAAAGCGUGGGGAGCAAACAGG
rnacentral:rRNA from 1 species